rnacentral:rRNA from 1 species
UACAGAGGUCUCAAGCGGUUGUUCGGAUUCAUUGGGCGUAAAGGGUGCGUAGGUGGCGCUGUAAGUCGGGUGUGAAAUUCGGAGCUUAACUCCGAAACUGCAUUCGAUACUGCGGUGCUUGAGGACUGGAGAGGAGACUGGAAUUCAUGGUGUAGCAGUGAAAUGCGUAGAGAUCAUGAGGAAGACCAGUGGCGAAGGCGGGUCUCUGGGCCGAUACUGACGCUGAGGAGCGAAAGCGUGGGGAGCGAACAGG